UGGCCUCCGCCCCAGGCCGGGGGUCACACAGGAGCUGUAGGGAAGGACCCUCCUCUCCAGGCGCGCCCACAGAGGCAGACACAGGGCGGAAGCACACGGCGAAUGAGGGGGCAGAAAGACAAAUGGCGAGCUCCGGAGCCAGCGAGCACAUUAAACAAAGCGACUGGAAAGCGAGGCUUCGGUGGAUUUCCCACAGGCACCUGCGUUCUGCAGGAAACCUCAUCAUCACUAGUGCGGGCCCUGCCUGUCUUAGGCCAUGGUGCCAACCUGGAAGGACGGUAGGUUCUUUUGUGUCUCCCAAGAAUCCCAGGAGGAAGCGAGGACAGGCGCUGCCGGCCUCAGGUGCCUGUGUCUUUCCAGAGGCUGUGAGUCCUAGGGCCCCGAUUUUACAGAGGAAGAAACUGAGGCCCAAAGUGAUGACUUUACUCGCUGGAGGUCCAGCAGGAAGAAAAGCAAACACUGGGUCCGGGGACCCUGUGCCAGCACCGGCUUCAGUCUCCCUCUGAGGACACGCGUCUUCCCUGUACAUGCACACAUGGGGAGGAAGGCCAGAGCAGACAGUUUUGAAUGGCUGUGCGUCCGACACCUGGCGCCCUGCAUCUUAUCUGCUACUUCCGCUCAGAUCUGCCCCUCGUCUCCACUGCCGCGGCCACCCCCGUCCAGGCCAUCCGUGUCCCCUUCCUGGACCCCCACUCCUACCUCCUCACGGACCUCCCAGGUCCUUCCACCAGUAGGUUUACUGCUCCCAGGCCUCUGAUCUGCUGCCUCCUCCACCUCCUGAGCCCCACCCUUUCAAGAAACAAAUCAUGAUAACCAGGGCAAAGUAAUACUCCACAAGAUGGACAGGCUGCGCUUGGUUGAGCCAGUCAUCUGUUGGUCAGCAUUUAGAUUGCUUCCACCUUUCGGCUGCGGUGAAGAGCACCUCCCCGGACAUUUGCGGGCAAGCGCCGUGUGGCCAUCUGUUUCCAGUUCUCUGGGGUACAUAGUUAGGGAUGGAAUUGCAGGGUCACAUGGUAACUCUUGUGCUUAGCUUGUUUAAGAACUGCCAAACUGUUUUCCACCAGGGCUUAGGCUGUUUUAUACUCCUGCCAACAGCAGACCAGGGAUCUGAUUUUUGCACA